CAAAACACACCUUCCCUUCCCUUCCAAUCAAAGCUGGAUUCAAAGAAUGGGCUGCUUCUUCUGACAGUUCUUCCAACUUCUCUACGAUUGCUAGGAAGACCAGAAGGGAAGGGCCGUAGCUCAGCGAUAGAACAUCUGCUUUGCAAGCAGCUCCAUUGGUCUUUCAUGCUCCUUUACAUAUCAGAUCUUCACACAGCUCUUUCUGCAGGAUUAUUGGGAGAGCCAAAAGGUUAAGAACAUAAGAAGACCCCAGCUGGAUCAGACCAAAGGCCCAGCUUCUUGUUCUUACAGUGGGCAGCCAGACGCCUAUAGGAAACCCACAAGCAGGACACGAGCACACUCUCCCCUUGUGUGUUCCCCAGUAACUGGUAUUCCGGUCAACUUGUAAAACACAUUGACCUUCAGCUGACUAAAGUGAAACCAAUAGCUUUUA